AGAUCAUGUUGAGGGCAAUUUAUGAGCAAGCCCUUGUACCGCUCCCAUGCUUCAUAUAAUGACUCCCCCGACUGUUGCUCAAAGUUGGCUAUUGCCUUCUUGAGUUU